ensembl:lncRNA
UGUUGAUGAUGAAAUGGAACUAACAGGAUGCAACACGAUAGCAAUUGACUCAAAAAACACAUUGGCAGCAAUUGCUACAGAGAUCAAAGUGCAUGACAGUGCACUUUGGGCAUCAACAUCUGUUUCUAGAUGCACCGUGUCAAGUGAAGAACAAAAUGAAGUGAGUGAAUCUGCCAAGUGUGCUAUUAACCAUGUCUUCCCCUCAAAAAAAGUUUUUGAUCUUGAUGGCAAAAACAUUAAAUGCAACAACACAGAGACAAUAUCCUAUGGCCCAGCUGACAUGCAAGUGGACAAAAAUUGUGAAAUGGCACAUCCAAGCAAUGUGAUGACGACUGAUGAAGACAGUGAUAUGCAGGUUACUAAGGUGCUUACAAUGCCCAUUGAAACAGAGCAAAGUUUUUCUUUUAAUGAGAAAGAAGCACCGAUAAAGACUUUCUGUGGCUCUAGAAUUGAAGAAGAGGGUCAAGCACUUUGCCCUAACAAGGAACAAAGUACAAGCUCAGUUCAGCUUGAAGGUUCCUCCUCAAAUGAGUCUGUAGUUGAUUCCUUCAUUAUAGAAGAGCUGCAACAUGCAAAAGUAAGACGGAGAAGUCUAGCUGACUUUCAAAUGGAGCUUCGCAACAUGUCAAAGCGUAUCCAGGAAGAGCAAAAAGUUAUAACGGGAAGCACAACUGCACCUCUGCCUUCUUGUUCCCUCCCUGAGAAUUCCCUUAAAGAGCAGUGUGAAAAGGAGAUUUCCAAUGAGCCAACUUUAAAUGUCACGCCUAAAGUCAAGCAAAUAAAUAAUUCUGUUCAAAAUGAGAGAACCACACCUUUUAGUCUUAAAAAGAAGGCGUUCUCAUCAAGGUUGUCAUUGUGUGGUAUCGUACCAAAACUACCAAAACGAGCUACAACUGUAACUCCUAACAAAACUGUGACCAUAAGUACUAAUGAUUUACAGUGUCUUCAACUAGAGAAACAUUUUGAGGUUGCUGAACAAAAUAGCAACUGCAAAACAGUCAAUAUUAAUGAUGAAGAGUUCCCUGAAAUCUGCAGUGAAGACGACUUGUCAGGGAGUCUUGAAAAUU